ensembl:lincRNA Gm17477 predicted gene, 17477
CCGGACAUUACACCAUUCACAUUUAGUUAGAUCAGAGGUAUUUAAAAUAAUGUCUACAGGAUCACUUUCUGGUCCUAGAGGGAAACAGAGAAAAAUGAAAAAGGAACAAAUUUUUAAGGUGACAAACCAAAAAAUGGAGGAAAUAUAAGCUUAAAAUUAAUAAUUUACUAUACUCUAUACUAUUCUUACUUUUUUGUUGUUUUUUUUUUUUGUUUUGUUUUGUUUUGUUUUUCAAGACAGUGUUUCUCUGUGUAGCCCUGGCUGUCCUGAAUCUCACUCUGUAGACCAGGCUGGCCUCAAACUCAGAAAUCCGCCUGCCUCUGCCUCCCGAGUGCUGGGAUUAAAGGCGUGCGCCACCACUGCCCGGCUUACUCUAUACUAUUCUUAAGAAUUGCAUUAAUAAAACAUAAUUUUUCCAAAUAAAAAGGAGACUCUAAAAUAUUAGGCUUAGUUGCAUUACAAAAUAAAAUUACAUGAAGCCCUUUAUACACUGUAUUAAUUAAUUAAAUAAAUAUUACUAUAAAAUGGAUCAGUAUAAACUUUAGUGCAUGAACAGAUAAAAAUAGCUUACCAUCUAGAUGUAUCGUGAUUGACUCUAAAGAAAACUUUAGAAACAAAAGGACAAAUUAGUGUUGAUGAUAGACGUACUGAGAUUUUUGUUCUACAUACUCUAAGUGGUAUAUAUGGUCCAUAAGUAUACAAAGAGCAGAAAACUGGGUCAUAUACCAUGUGCUUAAAUUUAAGAUGAAAUAUCCCCAUCCCCUGAAAAAAAACCAAAACCUUCUGCUAUUUUGAACUUGAAUAUUACAGAACACUCAUUUCCUAGAUUCAUUAACUUAAUAUUUUCAUAUAUCUACUCUAUUACUGUUUAUAAAUUAUAUUUUUACUAAAAAAAAAAAAAAAGCCACAAAGCAGGCAGCAGUCAUUACUUCAUCCCUAAAUCCUUCGGCAUGAAGCCUCUAAAUACAAGCACAUUUGCUACACAACUAAAACAUCAGCAAAUCUAAGAGAUCAAAGUUGAACUUCUUCAAUAUACAGUUAAUACUUAAAUGUCCAUCAGUCCUUGUUUUAACUUUCCCUCAGCUAUUAUUACUGUGUCAAUAUUAUACAGCAAAUACCAACUGUGUCCAUACUACAGACUUGCCUCUUUGUUCUUUAGGACAUGGCUUUUAUGAGACCUAAGUUGCAUACACCAUGCAAUCACUAGAGGGUUUCCUUGUCUCCAAAUGCAAUCCCUCCAUUCUCAGGGAGAGCAGCACAUGGCGCUGAGACCCCGCGCUGUGGUCCUGCAAGUGCCAGGCUGUCUCACUGCUCAUGUUAUUAAUUAACUGCCUCAGCAGUGACUGCUGGGAUUUUUGGUCUGCUUCCAUAUUUCUCCAUUUAUAACUAAAUAAUCCGAGCAAAGAUACUUCAAGUCAGUGAAUAUCUUUGAUGCAGUGGUUUUAGCACCCCUGACACUCUUUACCUGAAUUAUUAUUGGUGGUUAUAAAAUGAUAUAAUUUUCUAAUUAUUUCAACGUAGAGAGCACUUAACAUUAAGCCUAAUUAAUAAAUAAAUUAUCUUGGAUGUUUGGAGAAGUUAAGAGAAUCAAAAGAGGAGGCAAAUGUUUUCAUAGGUAUUGAAGAGUAAGAUGUACUAACAGCAAUAAACAGAUAACAUGAGAAGCAAACACAGACCAUGUGUUCCUUAACCAAAAUUCUAAAGUGUUGAGGACCAAAGGAGAUUCAGGUUUUAGAAAUGUUUGUGUAGAAUAUUCUCUUUAACACUUUAGUGGUUAAAAAUCCCUGAUCUAAAAAAAAAAAAAAAUAUUUAAAUUCUCCAAAAUCUAAAACUUCACUGGCAGCCAGCACUGAGGACUGAACACAGGCUGAGUGUACUGAGCAUGAGUUCUAGCACUGAGGACUGAACGCAGGCUGAGUGUACUAAGCAUGAGUUCUAUCACUGAGGACUGAACACGGGCUGAGUGUACUGAGCAUGAGUUCUAUCACUGAGGACUGAACACAGGCUGAGUGUACUAAGCAUGAGUUCUAGCACUGAGGACUGAACACAGGCUGAGUGUACUGAGCAUGAGUUCUAGCACUGAGGACUGAACACGGGCUGAGUGUACUGAGCAUGAGUUCUAGCACUGAGGACUGAACACGGGCUGAGUGUACUGAGCAUGAGUUCUAUCACUGAGGUCCACCCCUAAAAUCAACUCAACUUUUUUUUUUUUUUGAGGCUAAGGAAUGUGCCUCUCAUUUACUAUCCAAGUUGGUUUGUUUUGUUUGCUUGCUUGUAAUCAUGCCACCACACCCAACUUCCUGGUGAUCCUGAUGCCAUCAAGACUCCAAAAUGGCUGGUAGUAUACACCAGCAUAUCUGGCUCAGAGUAUAUAUCACCAUAUCCAGCAAUGCAGUUUAAGUUCCUGUCAAUACUGACGUUUCAGACUUCAGAGAAUUUCUAAUUUUUGGACAAGGGACCCAAACUGUAUAGUAAAAUACCAACU